AGCACAGAUUCACACUCCUCUGAGUGGCAUUUUAAACCAGUUGGUCUCCCAGACUCUCUGUAACCUUAAAUAACACUUGACCACAUCCAGAGAUGCAUCUUUGCUAGACAAACUGACUUGACUUAGUAGGUGCCUGCUUGGGACUGCAUUUCAUUCCUGAGCUCCAAGAAUAAAGCUGUGGGUAAGCCUGGCAGGAACUUUUGUCUGAGUUUUCCCAAUUUCUCAAGCAAACCACAGCUCCAGCUGAAAACAGCUAAAACUGUGCUGGGUCAGGAACCUUGUCUGAGAGAGAACGGGAAUUUCAACCAGCAUCCCUCUCAUCACAGGUGAAUGCUGUACUGUCAGGCUGGAAAACACAAACCCCUGUACCAGGGAACUGGUGGAACAGAAGCAUUACAACUGCGCACCUGGGGUGGUUUUCAGAAGACGGCCCAUCGUGUGACGGUGCCCUCCUUGGACAGCCAUAAAAGAAUCGGCUUGGGGUUUGUUCUGGUCUUCCCCACUGUCCCACUUGAGUUUUGUUUAUGUUGCUUGAGCCCUAAACUAAUACAUGAAUUCUCCUCACUGCCAAGAUGACGACUUCGGCACCAGGCGAGAUGAGCCGGAGAGGCUACGCUCACUUUUAAGGAGAAAGCAGGACUUAAUAAGCAUCCACCUUCUCCUUCCCCCCACCCUGCCCGAGGUCUUUUGAUGCAUAUUCCUCAAGAAUCUUCAGAUGUUUGACACUGUUUGAAAAGCAGCCUCUCUGCAACCUGGUAUCAGAGAUAAUGGAGAGGACCAGCCCGGAAAGUGCUGCGUGGCGCGAGCAACACAGUAAGCAAAACAUCGUGCAGCUUUAAAUCCUGCCCUUGGUAUGGUCUCUGUAAUGGGCUUCCCUUCCUCCUUUUUCUCUGUUGCAGAUUCACAUCUGUUUCUCUGCAUUUUGAAACUGUGUUCAUUUUUCACUGCUGCCCUUUGUCCCACACUUACUAGCUCUCGCCAAGGGCUUCAUUUCACUUAUUCAAUAAGCGAGAGGCACUGCAGACUGGAGAGAGCUUUAGGACAAAGCUCAAACUUCUAUUAGGCCUCAACAAAAAUGUUUUUGUUCCCCAUCAAGGAACUUUUUCCUAUUGCUUCUUGUUGGUUUGUUUUGGGUUUAAUUAACGUUUGCCGUUUGUAAUUGCCCAAACAGCUGCAAUUUCAGAGCUUUAAACCAAACUAAAAAAAGAGAUGCAACAGAAAUCUAUAUUGUGUAUUAGCAGAGAAACUUUGUACUAGAAAACCCUGCUUGUCCUUCAUCCUCUGCGGCCGCAACGCUUGGCUCUGUCUGCGCACACAGUGCAUCUGUGCUGCCGAGAUCCUGGUCUCUUUGUACGUCUACACUUGUGUAAGCGCUCUGUUAACAUACAUUUUGAUGUCUCACUGGUUUCAUACACAUUAUACUGGAAACCAGGCGGGACUUCCUGGGAAUGCUGUGCCAAGUCAGCCGCGGCUACGCCUGGCUGCUGCCUCCAGCCUGUCCCCCAGUCACAGCACUAAUUGCUGCGUUUCACCGCACAACAAAGCUAAAGAGGAGAGACCAGCCACGUAGGUUUUCCCAACACAAGAUUUCUGACAUGUUAACGAGUUUAUUAUAUCCUGUUGCUAAUCUAAAUACCAAAGAGCUCCUCAUUGGAGGAGAAACAGCAAGGAUGAAACUUUUAAUGCUUAACCAUUGUACUAACAGCUUAAUGUCUGCAUGUGAAAUUAUCUCGCUCUUGUGGCUAUGUUCAUUGUGCCGCAAGCGCAAGUCAAAUAGGGUUUUUUCUCUUAUUAAAUCAUCAUCCCACUAUGGUGCCAGUAUU